GUGGCCUUCCGACCAAUAACUGUGGAACUGGCGCGAAGAGGAUAUAAUGUCACUGUUUUUACAACUAUUCCCAUAAAUGAUCCUACUAUUCAAAAUUUUACUGAAGUGAAAUUAUCUUACUCGGAAUAUAAACUCGAUAAGAAUUUUAAUCUCAUAGCAUGGGCAAAAUUAGGGAUACAGCCACUUUUUUGAAGGAUUUUAUAAACGUAAUGAAGAAAUGACGGAUAGUGCACUGUCUCACCCCGUCAUGCAGCGGCUGAUAUCGCCUAACAGCACCGAAAAAUUUGACUUAAUUAUCGUCGAAUGCCUGUUUUACGAUGCGUUUUACGCAUUAUCAUAUCACUUCGAUGCACCGCUAAUCGGGAUCGCAUCGGUACCGCCUUUGACUGUACAUCAUUAUGCAUUCGGAAAUCCCAUAUCGUGGGCUUAUUUGCCAGACGUGUUGUUUGAUUCGGGUGAAAAUAUGAAUUUGCUAGAACGUAUCAUCAACAUAUAUUACAGUCUUUAUCAAAUAGUUUGGUAUCGAUACAUGAUUAUCCCCGUGCAGGAGAAGAUGGUUAGGAAAUAUUUUGGGGGACAGCGUGCCACUUGCUCAUCAGCUUAUCUCGAAUAUGGACUUGCUUCUAUCGAAUUUUCAUCCGUUUCUUUAUCCACAUGCACACGUUCCCGGGAUCAUUCCAAUAAGAGGAUCUCGUCCAAUCAAUCAAUACAACCAUAAUCUAACUCAGGAUCUGCAAAAGACAUUAGACGACGCGAAGGAAGGAUUUAUAUAUUUCAGUUUAGGUUCAAACGUCAGAGGCGAGUAUCUAUCUGACGAAAGACGAAACAUGUUUCUGAAAACUUUCGAAAAAUUACCUUACAUUGUAUUGUGGAAGUUCGAGUCCGAUCUUCCGAAUAAACCGAACAACGUCAUCAUUAGAAACUGGUUGCCGCAGCAUGCAGUUUUAGCACAUCCGAACAUACGGCUCUUCAUGUAUCAAGGAGGCUUGCAAAGCACCGAAGAAACGAUAGAAAAUGGAGUAUGUGUGAUUGGCUUUCCCGUUUUCGCCGAUCAACAUUAUAAUAUAAAGCAACUGGAGGAUUAUGGCACGGGAAAAAAAUUAAUUCUCACUGACGUGAAGGAAGACGAACUCAGAGAGACCAUAUUCGAGGUCAUUCAAAAUUCCAGUUACAAGAAUAACAUGCUGAAGCUGCGUGAUCUGCUGCAUGAUCUGCCAUACGAUCCAUUGGACAAUGCUAUUUGGUGGAUCGAGCAUGUCAUACGUCACAAAGGAGCACGACAUCUUCGGAACAAGUCGCGAGAUAUGCCUUGGUACAAGACUCAAUUAUUGGAUAUACAAGCGAUUGUACUCGUAUCACUUGUCUUCGUUGCGUAUAUCAUCGUAGUGAUUAUGUGUUUCACAUUUCAAAUUGUCAAACAAGAAUUAAGAAAAAGAUUAGUAUCCAGCGCGAAGAAACAACAAUGAUGAAUUAUAUUGAAUACAGAUGUCGAAAAGAUGACAUCUUCAUUGUGUGAAUUAUGAUAAAAUACAAAUAAAAUUCCUAGAUUUUUGUACUUUGUUGUUUUUACGUCCAAAAUUGUAUAUUGCAUCUUGCGCGAUAAACAAAAAAUGGAUGAUGACAAAAUAAAAAACUUUUAACGCACUCAAUGUAUCGAAUAAUGAAUUAAUAACUCAAUAUAUUUGAAUUGUGAUACAAUUGUGUAGAAAUGUUCACGGCUCGCAAACUACCUUUUUUAUGUUGUCGACUAUAUAGGGACAAAAUUUCUCGUUUUUUUAUUUCAUAUUGUAGCAAAACCGCCGAUUUUUCAGUCUCAAUUUGACACGGAGAUAUAACGAUGUUUAGAAAAAUUUUAUCUCGUACACAAUAAAGUAUAUUCUAGCAGAUUA
rnacentral:sRNA from 1 species